rnacentral:rRNA from 1 species
ACAGAGAGUAGCUUGCUACUUUGCUGACGAGCGGCGGACGGGUGAGUAAUGCUUGGGAACAUGCCUUGAGGUGGGGGACAACAGUUGGAAACGACUGCUAAUACCGCAUAAUGUCUACGGACCAAAGGGGGCUUCGGCUCUCGCCUUUAGAUUGGCCCAAGUGGGAUUAGCUAGUUGGUGAGGUAAUGGCUCACCAAGGCGACGAUCCCUAGCUGGUUUGAGAGGAUGAUCAGCCACACUGGGACUGAGACACGGCCCAGACUCCUACGGGAGGCAGCAGUGGGGAAUAUUGCACAAUGGGCGCAAGCCUGAUGCAGCCAUGCCGCGUGUGUGAAGAAGGCCUUCGGGUUGUAAAGCACUUUCAGUCAGGAGGAAAGGUUAGUAGUUAAUACCUGCUAGCUGUGACGUUACUGACAGAAGAAGCACCGGCUAACUCCGUGCCAGCAGCCGCGGUAAUACGGAGGGUGCGAGCGUUAAUCGGAAUUACUGGGCGUAAAGCGUACGCAGGCGGUUUGUUAAGCGAGAUGUGAAAGCCCCGGGCUCAACCUGGGAACUGCAUUUCGAACUGGCAAACUAGAGUGUGAUAGAGGGUGGUAGAAUUUCAGGUGUAGCGGUGAAAUGCGUAGAGAUCUGAAGGAAUACCGAUGGCGAAGGCAGCCACCUGGGUCAACACUGACGCUCAUGUACGA